UCCCAAAGUCACUCUAAAGUACCCCUAAAUCCAUGUUCCUCCACAAGUAAAAGAAAAGACCACUAUAGAGAGACAGAGACCAGUUGGACUAUGAUCAAUUGGACAAUUUUUUAUU